UUGAGAUCGAUCAUAAAGUGAACCAAAAAAAAAGUGGCUGAGAUAUUUGUAAAAAUUGACAUUUUAUGAGAAAUUAAACUAAACUCUCCUUUUGACAUGGACAUAUAAACAAACAAAAAUCAUAAUGACAAGCUCCAAGAAAGAAAAAAAAAUCACUGGAUGCUAUGUAGAGACAGCAAGAACCAGCUCGCUAAAUAUACUUUGCAUAUAUAUUCAGUUUCUGACUGGGGGUUUCUCUGAUCUUAGUGGGUGGAUCGAGAGUAGCCGGCGCUGUUGAUAUGAUAUUUUAAGGAGAACUCCAUAAAAAUAAAAUAUCUGAUUUUGAUACGCCAUUCCCCUCUUUAAACGUUCCUUACAUGCUACGUUGGUUUUCCAUGAUAAUGCUUUAGUUUAGUAAACUCCAACUCCAUUCGGAUAGUCAGUCACACAUUUGGUUGGGCCAUAUAAAGUGUUCUGGAAAAUAUUAUUUGUGUAUAAUUUUACCCCUCAUUCAAAUAAAGAAUGAUUAAUCCAUGCCUUACAAAACAUAAUUCUGACUUAUUGUACUGUAUACAAACAAAUCCUAUUUUAGACAUUGACUUCACAAAUACAUCUCGAUCAACAUUGUUAAACAAUAAUCACAUUUCUCAUAGUUCUAGAAGACUGGCCACAUGGACUAGGUGUUCUCUCAUAGCUCUAGAAGACUGGCCACAUGGACUAGGUGUUCUCUCAUAGUUCUAGAAGACUGGCCACAUGGACUAGGUGUUCUCUCAUAGUUCUAGAAGACUGGCCACAUGGACUAGGUGUUCUCUCAUAGCUCUAGAAGACUGGCCACAUGGACUAGGUGUUCUCUCAUAGCUCUAGAAGACUGGCCACAUGAACUAGGUGUUCUCUCAUAGUUCUAGAAGACUGGCCACACGGACUAGGUGUUUUCUCAUAGUUCUAGAAGACUGGCCACAUGGACUAGGUGUUCUCUCAUAGUUCUAGAAGACUGGCCACAUGAACUAGGUGUUCUCUCAUAGUUCUAGAAGACUGGCCACAUGGACUAGGUGUUCUCUCAUAGUUCUAGAAGACUGGCCACAUGAACUAGGUGUUCUCUCAUAGUUCUAGAAGACUGGCCACAUGGACUAGGUGUUCUCUCAUAGUUCUAGAAGACUGGCCACAUGGACUAGGUGUUCUCUCAUAGCUCUAGAAGACUGGCCACAUGAACUAGGUGUUCUCUCAUAGCUCUAGAAGACUGGCCACAUGGACUAGGUGUUCUCUCAUAGCUCUAGAAGACUGGCCACAUGAACUAGGUGUUCUCUCAUAGUUCUAGAAGACUGGCCACACGGACUAGGUGUUUUCUCAUAGUUCUAGAAGACUGGCCACAUGGACUAGGUGUUCUCUCAUAGUUCUAGAAGACUGGCCACAUGAACUAGGUGUUCUCUCAUAGUUCUAGAAGACUGGCCACAUGGACUAGGUGUUCUCUCAUAGUUCUAGAAGACUGGCCACAUGAACUAGGUGUUCUCUCAUAGUUCUAGAAGACUGGCCACAUGGACUAGGUGUUCUCUCAUAGUUCUAGAAGACUGGCCACAUGAACUAGGUGUUCUCUCAUAGUUCUAGAAGACUGGCCACAUGGACUAGGUGUUCUCUCAUAGUUCUAGAAGACUGGCCACAUGAACUAGGUGUUCUCUCAUAGUUCUAGAAGACUGGCCACAUGGACUAGGUGUUCUCUCAUAGCUCUAGAAGACUGGCCACAUGGACUAGGUGUUUUGUUGUGCUGAAAAGUUAUAUAUUGAGGUUUGGUCAGAUCACGUUUACUAGUAAGCGAUGCGAUUAACCAUAUCUACAAAUAGUGCCUCUGAAAAGGCAUCCUAUUCCAUAGUGCACUACUACUGAUCAAAAGUAAUGCGCUCUAUAUUGUAGGGCAUAGGUUGCCAUUUCAGAAGCAGCGAGAACGUUAACAGUAUCAACUGUACCAAAUACCAGGGUCCGUUAUCCACAAAGCGUCUCAGUGUAAGAGUGCAGAUAUAGGAUCAGUUAUCUUUUAGUUCAUAAUUGAUCGUAUUAUAUGGCCAGAUCCUAGAUCAGCACUAUUACUCGGAGACGCUUUGUGGAUAUGGGCCAGGAGUUUACACGCAUACAGUGUUCAGAUGGCCACAUACAUGAUGGAACACUAACAGUCCACAAUCACAGUGUUACUGGUGUGCCCAUAUCAAUGUUUGUAAUGAAAAUACAGUACUGUGAUCAUUAUCUAUACUAUCAAAACUGUGGUUUUGGGGAGAAGGCAUUGGAAAGGUUGUCAAAAACACACAUUAGUGAUAUUGAUAGAACUGCUACAUAAGGUGUAUGCAUCUCUCCAUCUAGGAUAUGUAGCCCUUCUAGAUACUGGUCCUCCAUUGGUAUAUAAGGCAAGAAUGAACCCAUCUGUAUGAAAUCGAGUCAGCACCAAGAACUGUUGUCGAUCUCUCUCCUCACAGGCAAACACGGCAGAAAUGUAGCCUAUCACAACUGGAUAGCAUCUUAUUACCAUUAUCAAAAGAUGACAAGGUAUAUUUUCUUAAGGCAUUUCUAGAAUUGAUUUGGCUAGAUUGUGAUAAAGAUGCUCGGCUAGCAGGCUGUCCAGUGCUCUCAAAUAGACCGAAGGCGGUUUGGGAACAAAGAUCACUGUCGGAUCAAAUAUAGAAAAAAAUACCCCAGUAGAAAA